GGGCAUGAGGGCCACAGACAGCUGCGUCUCCCAUUGAUCCCCAGAGUGUGUUCAGCUGGCCUGGCUGGCUGAGUGGGUGUCCCUUCCUUCCCCACCAUUCUCUGUGGGACUCACCAGAGGGAGGAGGACAAGGCUUCUGUCAAAAUCAUAUGACGUGACUCCUCCCCGGCUUGUUACACUGAUGUGAAAGGACAGAUUCUGAAGCCUUCGGUGGGCUGUGAGUGCUGUGGGAGCCUAGAGAAGAUUAUUUUUCCUGAUCUAAAAUGUAAGGUGGGGGAUUAAACUGUGGGCUCGGUUGUUCCCACACCAUCCCUUUCUCAUUCAGUCCUGAGCUGGCACUUGGCAGGUGCUCAGUAAGA
rnacentral:snRNA from 1 species